AGCAGCGUGGCUUAGUGGAAAGAGCCUGGGCUUUGGAGUCAGAGGUCGUGGGUUCUAAUCCCACUCUGCCA
rnacentral:tRNA from 1 species